AUCCCUGCCCUUAGAAACCUAAUCGAUGCCCUCGAAACUAACUACACGCCUCCUCAUCUUCCCUGUUCAGUUAAACCCUUUAUGAAGCCAGUUAAAGCACCUACCAGUUAAACCCUUUAUGAAGCCAGUUAAAGCACCCUCGAAACUAACUACACGCCUCCUCAUCAUCCCCAAUUGAGUAUUUUGUUGUUUGUUAGGGUUUGAGAUUUGAGAUUUAGGUCAAUGGCUCUCCUCGGUAAAUACCCAAUGCUCCUUCAUCUUCUAUAAAACUCUACAAGAACAUAAGCCUGGAUCGUAAGAAGCAUUCUCAGGAUCACCACUUUUCCCAUUCAAGAACAGAAGGGGGGUCAAGAACAUCAUCGCAUAGUUCGUAAUUCUGGUUACGUUUAAGCAGUCGGAAUCGGCGAAAAAAGCGUGUGAAGAUCCGACGCCGGUGAUUAACGGCCGUCGUGUGAAUUGUAACCUAGCGUCGCUCGGUGCUCGCCGUCAGAGAACGUUAACCGUUGUUCACCGCCACCGCACCACCAAUCCGUUUAGUCCAAAAUAAGAUCAUUUGGGAAGAAUGAUGAUGGAAGAGAAAAUCGGUCAGAUGGUUCAGAUUCAAAUGCUUGCAGCUACUCCUGAUAUCAUGAGGAAACUUACUAAUUGGUGGAGGGAGUGUUGAUUGGAUUAAUAUGCUACACGAGCUCCAACAUUUUCUACAUGAUCAUGGAUCCAAUGAUUUAUGGAAUUGUUGCUGAUCAUAGUCACAACAAUGUUAUUUAUGCUACAAUAUUUCCACAUAUUAUUGGCCACAUAGAUACCAGGCAAGUCAAAGUUAUUAGUACUGUUCAAUUAAAGAAGUUAGACUAAUUGCAUACAUUAUCUUAAAUGCACACUAGGGACACUAAUCUUGUGAAGAGAAUAGGUGCAACCACUAUCGCUGAAGUCAGAGCUAUCGGAAUUUCAUAUGCAUUUGCUCCUUGUAUUGAUGUAAGUAUAAUAAAAUAUUUAAGUAUGUGUCUAUAAAGAACUGUUUUUAUAGGUAUGCAGAGAUCUAAUAUGGGGACGUGCUAUGAGAGUUACAGCGAGGAUAAUGAACUUGUUCAAAGUAUGAAUAAGAUUGUAUUAGGAUUGCAAGGUGAAAAUUUUCAGGGAUCACGGUUGGGUGUCCCAUAUGUUGAUAGGGUUGGUGGUGGAGGUGAUGAUUUCAUAUAUUUAAACUUCUAAUUUACAUACUUAAGGUAAAUCAUAAAUUGAUGAUAUCUUUGCAUUCAAGCAGUUUAAAUGGGCAGAUUAUAACAAGUAGUAUUUAGCGUGCAACAAUACAAGUCGGUUCGGGUCGGGUCGGGUCGUGCUGAGUGUAGGCUGCCAUAGUUAGAGAAGUUCCUUUUCACUUAUUUAGUUUGUUUUAAGUCUCCAUUUAUCUUCAUCAUUAGCUGUAGAAACUCACUUUCCUGUUUGAAUGUAACCUAACCAAGUUGCCCUAUUGAUGGAGCAUGUGCAGUGGGUUUAUCGUUUGAUCAUUCU